AGAGUUUGAUCAUGGCUCAGGACGAACGCUGGCGGCGUGCUUAACACAUGCAAGUCGAACGGUGAUCCAGGGCUUGCUCUGGUGAUCAGUGGCGAACGGGUGAGUAACACGUGAGUAACCUGCCCCUGACUCUGGGAUAACUGCUGGAAACGGUGGCUAAUACCGGAUAUGAAACUUCCCUGCAUGGGGUUGUUUGGAAAGAUUUUUUGGUUGGGGAUGGGCUCGCGGCCUAUCAGCUUGUUGGUGGGGUGAUGGCCUACCAAGGCGACGACGGGUAGCCGGCCUGAGAGGGCGACCGGCCACACUGGGACUGCGACACGGCCCAGACUCCUGCGGGAGGCAGCAGCAAGGAAUUUUCCGCAAUGGGCGAAAGCCUGACGGAGCAACGCCGCGUGGGGGAUGACGCGUUUCGGCGUGUAAACCCCUUUUCGAGGGGACGAAGCAAGUGACGGUACCCUCGGAAUAAGGACCGGCUAACUACGUGCCAGCAGCCGCGGUAAGACGUAGGGUCCAAGCGUUAGGCGGAAUCACUGGGCUUAAAGCGUGUGUAGGCGGAUCGUUAAGUGUCUUGUGAAAUCCCACGGCUCACCCGUGGAACUGCUGGGCAUACUGGCGAUCUUGGGCCAACUAGGGGCAGCCGGAACAAGCGGUGGAGCGGUGAAAUGCGUAGAUAUCGCUUGGAACGCCGAAGGUGAAAACAGGCUGCUGGGGUUGUGCCGACGCUGAGACACGAAAGCCAGGGGAGCAAACGGGAUUAGAUACCCCCGUAGUCC
rnacentral:rRNA from 1 species